rfam:Otolemur garnettii contig034088, whole genome shotgun sequence.
ACCUUUGUGCGGUGGCAGUAUAGUAGCAAAUGAGGUUUAUCCAAAGGCAAUUAUUGCUAAUUAAAAACUUUUCCCGAUACUCUGCUGUGAUGACUUGAAAUAUAGUUGGCAUUGGCAUUUUUUUUUUUGCAGUAUUUUUGGC